rnacentral:rRNA from 1 species
CUUUGGCCGUCCGAGUUGUAGUCUGGAGAAGUGCUUUCCGCGCUGGACCGUGUAUAAGUCUCUUGGAAGCUUGACGUCAUAGAGGGCUGACCCUACGCUAUGACACGGACUACCAGUGCUUUGUGAUGCGCUCUCGAAGAGUCGAGUUGUUUGGGAAUGCAGCUCAAAAUGGGUGGUGAAUUCCAUCUAAAGCUAAAUAUUGGCGAGAGACCGAUAGCGAACAAGUAGGCUGAGAGGGAAAGAUGAAAAGCACUUUGGAAAGAGAGUUGCUGAGUACGAAAUUGCUGAAAGGGAAACGCUUGAAGUCAGUCGCGUUGUCCGGGACUCAGCCUUGCUUUCGCUUGGUGCACUUUCCGGAUAACGGGCCAGCAUCGAUUUUGACCGUCGGAAAAGGGCUAGGGUAAUGUGGCACCUCCGGGUGUUCGACUCGGCUACAGUCGCAUACGGCGGUCGGGAU